GUAAAAACAAGUUUAUUCAAGUGUUUCAAAUCUCAUCCAAAGAGGUGGUGUACUAAAUCCGAACGAAACGGGAAUUCGGUAUUUUCUCUACCGGUUCGUCGUGGAUCGCGAAUAUACUUGAAUACACUCGAGUAUACAUGGCCGUGCUUUAGAGGACCAACAAAACAAACGGCAUUUCUCGUCGAGCUACGAAAAUAGCUUCUCGAUGAUUCCUCGAAAACAACGCCGUCACGAGACAUGGUGAUGUACCUAACCUGGCCUACCGGUGUACAUACCUUGGACGCUUUUGAUGCGCGUGUCUCCAGGAAGGGUGAGAAGAAAAAAGUGUCGACGGUGUGGGGUCGCCGUCCCCGUGUCGACAAAGCUUCCUUUCGUAUCGUUAUAUCACAUACGCGAUGUCAUCAGGACAACUGCUGUUCUAAGAAAGUCGCCUGAGUGACGAUGCAACGACACUUCUCGUGGCACUCGAGUGGCUAUUGCUACUCUGAACACGGGAUAAAACUGUCAAGAAAACUAAAGGCGUCGAUUCUAUGAACUGUUACAACAAAUACAAUUUAUCCGAAUGUAAUUUUCACACGAAUAUAUAAUAAUAUUGAGCCUGCUUCGAAUGAAAGUUACUAAAUUUUAUCCAACACGAGAAUCUUGCAGUAAACAAACUCAAUGCAAUCUCGACGUAUUAUGCAUCACGAGCCUCGCGGCCAUCACUAAUUUCAACUGGCACUGUUAGUGGCGCCAUCGCCUCUUUAGACGGAAGAACAAGGAACUGGACCAUUACGCGCGCGAUAGUCGUGAAUAAUGGCGAAAUACGUAAUCCAACGCCAUCAUUGCCAGGUGGUCCUAUUAACAUAAAAUGCAUAAAAAAAAAGAAUGCUAAAUUUAUCAAGAUAAUGAAAGAAAAGAGUUCAUGUAUUACCAGACGGUCCUCUUGGACCCAUAGGACCUUCUACACCGACACCUUCCGGACCUCUAUCACCUUUUUCUCCCCGUUCACCAGGUGGACCUUGAGGUCCUAUAUGACCUUGUGGUCCUGGUAAACCAUUAAAACCACGUUCCCCAGGUAAACCUGGAAGACCUGGAUCACCUAAAAGAUAAUUUUCCAUUAUAAAUUAAUUCUAAUUUUAAGGUAAAAAAAUGUAUUAUUAAUAUUAUAAGCAUGCAUUGUUAACUAUUUCUAACUACAUAUAAAUUAAAUAUAUUAUU